AUGGCAGCAGAAAAUGAGGUGAUCGGUGUUCAUUCCGUUGAAUCAAGGAAGGAACUGAUCCAGAAGGGAACUGAAUCCAAAAAACUGAUUGUGGUGGACAUUGACGAAUUAAAGAGUGUUGCAGAGGAAUGGUCUGUCGAGGCUAUGCCAACCUUCUUAUUCUUGAAAGAAGGCAAGGAAGUGGAUAAGGUAGUUGGUGCUAAGAAGGAAGAGCUGCAGCUGGCAAUAACCAAGCAUGCAACAGCUGUUGCUACUGCUUAA
rnacentral:lncRNA from 1 species